rnacentral:lncRNA from 7 species
AAAAGCUUUACAAAGUCUUUGGGUGUAGGUGGUGGUGGUGUGUAACAAAUUCUUCUGGCUGCUUGGCCAGUGAGGCUGAGGUCUGAGCAGGUACUUGCCAUAACCAAGGCCUGGGUUGUGCAGGAGGAGCAGUUAGUGCAAGGCUGGAGGUCGUCCAGGUGGGCUGGAGAGCUGGAAAAGCAGCCUGUACCUGCGUGGAGCUGCUAUAAGGUUUACUAAGCCACGAUCUGGCACUUGAGGAUGAAAACAUGAGCAGCGCUGAUAGCCAGCUUCUGCCGUGACCUGAAGUACUGACAGUGUUCCCGCUAUAUCCAGAUGCACUUCCACUAACAGAUCUGGAAGCGACAGUCCUGCUUCGUUCUACCCUAUCCAGGAGCACGCUCCUUAACAGCCACGCUACAGCCACUGCUCAGCUGACGGCUAACAGCCUCCGACUGCUCUCUGCAGUACUGCUUCCAGCUCAGGCGCAGAUCUCUUCAUGGAAACGGAGCUCGUUGCUGUCACUGUGCGACAGGCAGCAGCGCGGCGGUGACUGAUGUUUGCUAAACGCUGCACAAUGCACCUGAAAGCAACGCAUCGGGCACAGCCUCCUCUGAGUCACGUCGGGAUCCCGCCAUCGUGCUGCCAGCUGAAGCGCUUCCAAAGAAGUUUUUCUAAACGAAGCAAGUUAGGACAUGCCACGCUGAGUAAGUUUAAGUUACCCGUUAAGAAUACAGUUUGAGACCAGUACUACCCAAGCCAUCGUAUUAAGGAUCAGUGAGCCGCGGUCCUCUGCUCUACCGUUGCACUAUAUAAACCUGUCGCCCAUCAUGAACUUAAGUCUCCUUAAAAAUAGCAUCAGUCAUUUUUAUUGGUAAAAACACCUAAAUUGAGAUCUAACAGCAAGUAAGGAUUGUGCUUGUCCAUAAUAACCUCGGCUGUGAAAUCUACUCAGACACAAGACAUACAACCUUCCAGAUACACAAGCUAUUUGUCAGCAAAGCAGAAUGCUGCCAUUCUGAGACAAUUACAUACAGUAAAGGUUUUCAAGAUUUUAUUAAAGAAAACAGUCAAAAUGUACAAGUAUUACCCAGGUUUGUAGAUAACUUCCUAUAAAGGCAGUAAAAUAUGAAUUUCAAUCUAGGUUUUUAAAAACUGCUAUAGUUGAUUAGUUUUAAAGUUGGUAUUUUAAAAUCACGUUUCACAAAUAGUUCCGAAAUAUUACCAAAUAAAUAGUGCAACGAGAAAAUCGAAAUUAGUUCUACACUGUUUGCAUGUCAGGCAAAAGUUAUAAGUAACUGCUUCAAAUACUCAAACCAUUUGAGAAUGAAUGAACCCACAGCUCCCACCAAAAACCGACUUCCACUAAACCACACCAGGAACGUCCUCCUCUCGUUCUUCACUGAAAUCAAAUGAUAAGAAAACAACACCUCUUGAGGUCAUCAAAAAUAACUUUAGUAUAAAAUUG